rnacentral:lncRNA from 1 species
CCCUCUCCUUCCCAUGCAGCUACUUGAGUUUAUGUUUGUAUGUUAGUUUUCCUUGAAGGACCUCAGAUUCAUUUACCUUUCUUUGCUAUAAUGGGAGAAUAAGGUUUCCAUCUGGCAAUAUGCCAACAUUUUGUCUAAAUGUUUGCAUUUAAUUAGCGGUUUCUUGCCAGCCUUUGCCCAAGGAGGUGGGUGGGAGAAUCCCAGAUACUUGCACUUGCUACCGUGUACACCUAUGUUAAGGGUUAAUGCAGUACAUCACUUCUGUCUUGCAUUUUCAUCUACUUCCUACUUGCCCGCUUAAAAUUUAUUCAGAAAUGAGUAAGUAACAUCCUCGUGCUCAGGACUGUGAGAGAAUGCUAAUGGGGAUCUGCCUCUUGUUCUCAGCAGUUGUGCUAAAACAGUGGAUGUAUUUUCCUCUCAUUCCCUGAGACAUAAAGAGAGGCUUUCUGAAGGGUUGCUUGCAACCAAAACUCAUGUUUAAUGUUAGAAGCUCUGCUUGGUCUCUUUCAGUUUGAAACUGCUCUAGCUUAGUUAAGGGAGCCAGAUGUAACACAUUGACCUUAAAUGGUAAAAGCUCCCAGAGUGAGCAGAAGAGAGAGAAGGGAGGUUUUCCUGAAGGGGGAAAACAAGAGGAAUAGCUCAGUUUUAGGUGGGUGCUCCGUACUCCAAAACAACCUUUGUGCUGCCGGUUUAUUCUCCGUCUGUGACCUCCAGUGCCGCAUGGCUCUUAGACAGUGAUGCUUCCAAGCUUCAGACAUCACUCAUAGAUGCGCUGAAUUUAGAACAGAUUUCAACUCAAAAGAGAUGUUGUUGGACGUUUCCUAAUCUGUUCUUCCUGGGCCAGACACAGGGAUCCAAAGAGAAACUCAUAAACAAGAAAAAGCAUGCCUACAAAACAGAACAUGGGGAAAACAUUAAAAGAGCAUUUGAGGUCAACAGCCAGGCUAACAGUGAAGAUGGAAUAAAGUACCUUUAUUUGCCAAGACAUUCAGCUGUGAUUCAGAAGUCUUGGGAUCACAAGACUCCACAGGGCUUAUCUUCAGAGGUUAAUUUGAAACAGACGUUCUCAUCAGUGCAUGGUCUCUUUAGUCUCUGUGGCAAUCCAA